rnacentral:rRNA from 1 species
UGUUUGAUCCUGGCUCAGGACGAACGCUGGCGGCGUGCUUAACACAUGCAAGUCGAGCGGUAAGGCCUUUCGGGGUACACGAGCGGCGAACGGGUGAGUAACACGUGGGUGAUCUGCCCUGCACUUCGGGAUAAGCCUGGGAAACUGGGUCUAAUACCGGAUAUGACCUCCUAUCGCAUGGUGGGUGGUGGAAAGAUUUAUCGGUGCAGGAUGGGCCCGCGGCCUAUCAGCUUGUUGGUGGGGUAAUGGCCUACCAAGGCGACGACGGGUAGCCGACCUGAGAGGGUGACCGGCCACACUGGGACUGAGACACGGCCCAGACUCCUACGGGAGGCAGCAGUGGGGAAUAUUGCACAAUGGGCGAAAGCCUGAUGCAGCGACGCCGCGUGAGGGAUGACGGCCUUCGGGUUGUAAACCUCUUUCAGCAGGGACGAAGCGCAAGUGACGGUACCUGCAGAAGAA